rnacentral:tRNA from 1 species
GCCUUCGUGGCGUAAUGGUCAGCACACUCGGCGCGUAUUCGAGAGGUCCGAGGUUCGAAUCCCAGCGAGAGCA